rnacentral:rRNA from 1 species
GACGAACGCUGGCGGCGUGCUUAACACAUGCAAGUCGAACGGAAAGGCCUGCUUUCCCUUGUGGAUUGCGGGUGCUCGAGUGGCGAACGGGUGAGUAACACGUGAGUGAUCUGCCCCCAACUUGGGUAUAAGCCUGGGAAACUGGGUCUAAUUCCCGAUAGGACUGCAGGGUGGUGCCUGUGGUGGAAAACGAUUUUCUAGUGGUUGGGGAUGGGCUCGCGGCCUAUCAGCUUGUUGGUGGGGUAAUGGCCUACCAAGGCGGCGACGGGUAGCCGGCCUGAGAGGGUGGACGGCCACAUUGGGACUGAGAUACGGCCCAGACUCCUACGGGAGGCAGCAGUGGGGAAUAUUGCACAAUGGGCGGAAGCCUGAUGCAGCGACGCCGCGUGGGGGAUGACGGCCUUCGGGUUGUAAACUCCUUUCGACCGCGAGGAAGCCACCUGGUUAGAAGGGUGGUGACGGUAGUGGUAGAAGAAGCACCGGCUAACUACGUG